CAUCAUCAUCAUCGCAAAACAAUACAUGAUCAAUUCAAAGCAUUGUGAAUAAAAAAAAAGCAUGACAUUUGACAGAGUAAUCUGAAAUGCUAAAGGGUUUAA